rnacentral:rRNA from 1 species
UACGGGGGGGGCAAGCGUUGUUCGGAAUUACUGGGCGUAAAGGGCUCGUAGGCGGCCAACUAAGUCGGAUGUGAAAUCCCCAAGCUUAACUUGGGAACUGCAUCCGAUACUGGAUGGCUUGAAUCCGGGAGAGGGAUGCAGAAUUCCAGGUGUAGCGGUGAAAUGCGUAGAUAUCUGGAGGAAUACCGGUGGCGAAGGCGGCCCCCUGGUUGGAUACUGACGCUGAGACGCGAAAGCGUGGGGAGCAAACAGG